rnacentral:rRNA from 1 species
AGCAGUCGCGGUAAUUCCAGCUCCAAUAGCGUAUAUUAAAGUUGUUGCAGUUAAAAAGCUCGUAGUUGAAUUUCGGGAUCAAUAUAUCGGUCGUGCCUUGGUACGUACUGGUAUCAUUGGUUUCUCCUUUCUGACGAACCAUGAUGUCAUUAAUUUGGUGUUAUGGGAAGUUAGGACUGUUACUUUGAAAAAAUUAGAGUGUUUAAAGCAGGCUUUAGCUUGAAUACAUUAGCAUGGAAUAAUGAAAUAGGACGUUCGAACCUAUUUUGUUGGUUUCUAGGAUCAACGUAAUGAUUAAUAGGGAUAGUUGGGGGCAUUAGUAUUCAAUUGUCAGAGGUGAAAUUCUUGGAUUUAUUGAAGACUAACUACUGCGAAAGCAUUUGCCAAGGAUGUUUUCAUUAAUCAAGAACGAAAGUUAGGGGAUCGAAGACGAUCAGAUACCGUCGUAGUCUUAACCAUAAACUAUGCCGACUAGGGAUCGGAUGAUGUUAAUUUUUAAUGACUCAUUCGGCGCCUUACG